AAAUCUACAAGCUAGAAGAAAAUAUAAUGUAUUAGAAUAUCAAGGUCUUUCCCCACAAGCCUCACAUUUAUUUUUGCUAAACUAAACUGAGACAAAAGUAAUCUACAUUACAAUUUGAGAUAGUGAUUUCUGUUGAUAAGCCACAAAAAUGUUCAAAGGGAUUUUCUAACUUUUUUUUUUUUGCAUCAAGAAUUAAUAAAUACAGUGUAUCAUUAUUUUAAAGACAUGUUUAGGGAAAAAACCAGCUUCUCUUCCCCUUAAAGUUAUUGGUGGUGGGAGGGCAAGAGAGGAAGAGAUGGCAGCUUUUUAAUUAAAAUAUUAAUUACUACUCCAGUUAUAUGAAACCAAAUUAUUUUGAGAAAUUAUCUUAUUUUGCCAGGCGCGGUGGCUCAUGCCUGCAAUCCCAGCACUUGGGGAGUCUGAGGCGGGCAGAUCAUGAGGUCAGGAGCUCAAGACCAGCCUGACCAACAAGGUGAAACCCCGUCUCUACUAAAAAUACAAAAAUUAGCCAGGUGUGGUGGCACGCACCUGUAAUCCCGUCUACUUGGGAGGCUGAGGCAGGAAAAUUGCUUGAACCAGGAGGCAGAGGUUGUAGUGAGCCAAGAUCUUGCUACUGCACUCCAGCCUGGGUGACAGAGGGAGACUCCAUUUCCAAAAAAAAAAAAAAGAAAUUAAUUAUCUCAUUUCGAUGUAGUAAAAAAAAAAUUUUCUUUAACAUUCUUCAUAAAAUGUGAUUAAGGCUAUUAAAUAUAAAGCUUGGAUGAGGGUGCAGAUAAUUUUACAAAACAGCUGUAUUUUGGCAAAUAUUUUAUUAUUAUAAAUGAAAAUACAGAGUUUUAAAACGGCACUUAAUCUGUUCUCUCUCUCAGAGUCUGCCAAAUAAAUCAGAUUUCUUGGAAAAUAUUCAAACUUGAUACAAUGGAGGCAAAAUUAACUCUUGUCAGGUAAGUCAUUUGCCAUAAACGAAAGGACCCAUAACUGCAUUAAGCAGAGAGGGACUGACUGUCAAUGAAGCUUCUCUAUUUGCAAUUUAUUCAGCAAAAGCGAACAAUUUUUAAAAAGUCUCUAAUGCAAAAUUUAGUUCAAGUAUCAAAGGUCUGAUCAAUUUUAAAAGGCAUUAGUUUUAUUUUUAAUAAAUUGAACUGGCCUUAGAUGAAAGAUAUAGUUCUGUUCACAUAUUUUAUACAUUAUUUACAGAGAAAUGAAAAAUCCUGCUGCCUUUGUUAUCACUUGUCAUUUGCGAAAUUCUUACUAAAAUAAAAGAAAAUGGAAAGAUAAUUUGACCUCUGACUUCCAGGAGAAUGUUCAGGCCACAUCUAAAAUUUACCAAAGAAUGGGGAAAAAACUUUUUUCAAGUUGGAAGGUACCAGAGUGAUUAGCUGGUCUAACCUACUCAUUUUACAGAUUAGAAAACUGAGAUAUGGCCGGGCGCGGUGGCUCACGCCUGUAAUCCCAGCACUUUGGGAGGCCGAGGCGGGCGGAUCACGAGGUCAGGAGAUCGAGACCAUCCCGGCUAAAACGGUGAAACCCCGUCUCUACUAAAACUACAAAAAAUAGCCGGGCGUAGUGGCGGGCGCCUGUAGUCCUAGCUACUUGGG
rnacentral:lncRNA from 10 species